rnacentral:tRNA from 1 species
GCUGGAGAUGCAGCUCGGUGGUAGAGCACUUGCCUUGCAUGUGUGAGGCCCUGGGUUCCAUUCCCAGCACAGUG